rnacentral:piRNA from 1 species
UCUGGCAUGUGAACAGAUGGUUUGGUCAGC